rnacentral:rRNA from 1 species
CAUGUAGGCGGCAUAACAAGUCUGGUGUGAAAUAUCUCGGCUCAACCGAGGGAACGCAUUGGAAACUGUUAAGCUUGAGUAUCGGAGGGGAAGCUAGAAUUCCUGGUGUAGGGGUGAAAUCUGUAGAUAUCAGGAAGAAUACCGGUGGCGAAGGCGAGCUUCUGGCCAGAUACUGACGCUGAGAUGCGAAAGCGUGGGGAGCGAACAGGAUUAGAUACCCUGGUAGUC